AAUAGAUACCCAGGUAGUCCACGCCGUAAACGAUGAGUGCUAAGUGUUAGGGGGUUUCCGCCCCUUAGUGGCUGCAGCUAACGCAUUAAGCACUCCGCCUGGGGAGUACGGUCGCAAGACUGAAACUCAAAGGAAUUGACGGGGGGCCCGCACAAGCGGUGGAGCAUGUGGUUUAAUUCGAAGCAACGCGAAGAACCUUACCAGGUCUUGACAUCCCGCUGACCGGCCUAGAGAUAGGUCUUUCCCUUCGGGGACAGCGGUGACAGGUGGUGCAUGGUUGUCGUCAGCUCGUGUCGUGAGAUGUUGGGUUAAGUCCCGCAACGAGCGCAACCCUUGAUCUUAGUUGCCAGCAUUCAGUUGGGCACUCUAAGGUGACUGCCGGUGAUAAACCGGAGGAAGGUGGGGAUGACGUCAAAUCAUCAUGCCCCUUAUGACCUGGGCUACACACGUGCUACAAUGGACGGUACAGAGGGUCGCAACCCCGCGAGGGUGAGCUAAUCCCAUAAAACCGUUCUCAGUUCGGAUUGUAGG
rnacentral:rRNA from 1 species